rnacentral:rRNA from 1 species
CCUACGGGUGGCAGCAGUGGGGAAUUUUGCGCAAUGCUCGUAAGAGUGACGCAGCGACGCCGCGUGAAUGACGAAGGCCUUCGGAUCGUAAAGUUCUGUCGACAGGGAAGAAAAUGCCUAUAAGUAACUGUGUAUGUAUUGACGGUACCUGGUUAAGAAGCGACGGCUAACUCCGUGCCAGCAGCCGCGGUAAUACAGAGGGGGCGAGCGUUGUUCGGAAUGAUUGGGCGUAAAGAGGACGUAGGCGGGGUUGUAAGUCAUUAGGUAAAGACUCGGGCUCAACUUGAGUAAGGCUUGGGAUACUAGAAAACUAGAGUAUGAGAGAGGAAAGCAGAAUUCCUGGUGAAGCGGUGAAAUGCGUAGAUAUCAGGAGGAAUACCGUUAGCGAAGGCGGCAAUCUGGCUGGAAACUGACGCUGAGGUGCGAAAGCGUGGGGAGCAAACAGGAUUAGAUACCCCGGUAGUC